UGAAUACGAGACGCUAAGGCGUCGAAGUAGUGUAUGUCAUACUUCCAAGAAAAGCUUGCACUGUCAUAAGUAAAAAAUGCCUGUACCAUAACCGACACAGGUGGGUAGGUAGAGUAUACUAAGGGGCGCGAGAUAACUCUCUCUAAGGAACUCGGCAAAAUAACUCCGUAACUUCGGGAGAAGGAGUACCUUAUUCUAUAAGGUUGCAAUAACAAGAUCCAAGCAACUGUUUAUCAAAAACACAGGUCUCCGCUAAGUCGUAAGACGAUGUAUGGGGGCUGACGCCUGCCCAGUGCCAGAAGGUUAAAGAAGUCGGUUAGCAUUAGCGAAGCUGGUAACUGAAGCCCUGGUGAACGGCGGCCGUAACAAUAACGGUCCUAAGGUAGCGAAAUUCCUUGUCGGGUAAGUUCCGACCCGCACGAAAGGCGUAAUGAUUUGGAUACUGUCUCGGAGAGGGGCUCGGUGAAAUAGACUUGUCUGUGAAGAUGCGGACUACCUGCACCAGGACAGAAAGACCCUAUGAAGCUUUACUGUAACUUGAAAUUGAAAUUGGACUUUAUUCGCGCAGUAUAGGUGGGAGGUGUUGAUUAUAAUCUUGCGGGAUUAUUGGAGCCAUCAGUGGGAUACCACUCUUGUAAUGUUAGAUUUCUAACUUUGAAUCAUUAUCUGGUCAAAGGACAGUUUCAGGCGGGCAGUUUGACUGGGGCGGUCGCCUCCCAAACGGUAACGGAGGCGUACAAAGGUUUCCUCUGAACGGGUAGAAAUCGUAUCUAGAGUGUAAAGGCAUAAGGAAGCUUGACUGUGAGACCUACAAGUCGAACAGGGACGAAAGUCGGUCUUAGUGAUCUGACGGUACUGAGUGGAAAGGCCGUCACUCAACGGAUAAAAGUUACUCUAGGAUAACAGGCUGAUCUCCCCCAAGAGUUCACAUCGACGGGGAGGUUUGGCACCUCGAUGUCGGCUCAUCGCGUCCUGGGGCGGUAGUACGUCCCAAGGGUUGGGCUGUUCGCCCAUGAAAGCGGUACGCGAGCUGGGUUCAGAACGUCGUGAGACAGUUCGGUCCAUAUCCGGUGUAGGCGUUAGAAUAUUGAGAGGAGCCUUCUUUAGUACGAGAGGACCGAGAAGGACAUACCUCUGGUGUACCAGUUAUCGUGCCAACGGUAAACGCUGGGUAGCUAUGUAUGGAGUGGAUAACCGCUGAAAGCAUCUAAGUGGGAAGCCCACCUCAAGAUAAG
rnacentral:rRNA from 1 species